rnacentral:misc_RNA from 1 species
GGUGUGUCACAAGGACAAACCGAGACGUGUCCAGACUCUGCUUGUAUUUGGUGGCCCAUUCAUAAAAUUAGGGAGGUGACGACUGAGCCGAUAUAACUUAAGAAGGUUUGCAAAUUGAGAUUUUCGUGGGUGUCGGGAAUUUUUAUCGCAGUAUCAUCUGUGGGCCUAUUUAGGAUGAAAACCGAACCGGAGUAGUGCGUAUUUUUGUAUCAAAAGUGGUUAGAGCAUCGUUGGUGGCACACUAAAUUUUUUUUGGCAUGCACUUAAAUUUAACUCAUGAGCGACUUUAAGCACCGCUUCCUUAACAGAAUUUCGCCUCAAGUCCGGUAAAUUUUAUCUCGGGGUUUAUAAUUGCGGUCGUAGUGAACAUUGUGCUUAUCUCGGUCUGUCGUAUAUUCAUAUAUAAGCUGAGUUUCUUAUUUUGGUUACCUCCUAAGUGAAUCAAUUGACUUUCGCAAUCAAAAUGUUUUCCAUGUGCUCGAAGCCCAGACCAAGAACACCUCCUCAUAUUGUCCAGCACUCCCAGCUCGGUCCAGUUGGGAAACAAAUUAAAGGAGGAUAUCUGCUACGAUAUAAAAAGCACCUCCUAUGGAACCGUUGGUCGGAAGAGUGGGUGGUUCUUUACGAUGACUCGACAAUGGCCUGGUUUACGGAACGAGGGCGUUCGUCACCGGCUGGAAAAAUUCUCGUCAAAGAAGCGCCUGAGAUGCUAGCAAUUGCACAUUGGACUGGACAAAUACCAAAAAGGCCUCCACUUCCAGAUGGUUGCAAAGUUACUCAACUGAUAGCAUUGGGAUCAAGAAGGAAAAGGUCAAAAGUCUAUUGGAUGCUGGCGAAAUCGGAGCAAGAAGUCAGUGAGUGGAUCAAUGCCAUAACGAAAACGCUGCCGCCGCCACCACAAAUCGAACUGGUAGUGGAUAAACCGCAUCUUAUGAACGUCCUACGUAGACCUUUGGUACGAAUAAGACCUGCCACAACAGGAGAGGUAAAAGCAAGAAAGUCACAUUCAACACAAAACUGCCUCGUGCAAAAUCCUCUAGUUAAAAGCGAUGCUGCCGUUGCAAUACUUAGCAAAAAAAUAGACUCAAAAGGAUCAUUGGCUUGCGCCCUACCUUGGGGUCAUGGUUGGGGUUGGGCAACACUUCCUAACGGUGUGUGGAGUGGAGGUCUUACAUGGUCACAAUGCGAGGAUACAUUUACGUUACAUGCGCUGCCCACAACACACUGCACAAAUCUACUGGGGGCUUCCAGUGCAGCCAUUUACCAUGCAGACAUCGGAGGAUUCGACUUCCAUACCGGCGUGGAAGACCUUGGCGGCGAGGAUUUCGACUACGCUAUGGACUGUGGCGAUUUUAUAUUUUAAAUGAAGCAAAGUAUCUAAUUUCACGAACGGCGUUCUAAUCGAAAAAGGAAACUCAACGAUAGUAAAAUUGAAGUUAAUUCCUGCCAGUCGUGUGAUACGUGACUGCGUUUGGGACCCACAUUCGAAAGAAAAUCGCAAAAGUAAAUAACCAUUAAAAAAAUAGAAAAGAUUGUUGCACGUGCCAACAGAGAAGGGUGAAUCGACAAGACUAUAGGCUACACGAAAAAGGAUCUAUAUAUUUUGCAAUAUUUUCCUUUUCAUAAAAGAGGAAAAAUUUCAGAACGUCCCAUCGGAAGGAGCAAAUUUUAUAAGAAAAAUCUCGUUUUGUUAAGUUAACGACGCUGAAUCCAUCGAUUUUUCAUUGUUUCCUAUUGAGUGCGUCUCGUCGGAAGCGACGACGAAGAUAAGGGAAAACUUCAUCAUUGAGAAUCAACUGAACUAACAAAUCGUCUUCUUAUCCCUCCUAGAACAUGAACAUGAAACUCAUCCCCUUUCCCGUUUUUGGGCAAAAGGGACGCGGACAAUGACAUAAACAACUAACUACAACGUAAGCUCCACAUGAAGUGGAAACAUUGAGCAAGGUGAACAGGACUACCGACGCAGGAUAAUCAGGAUUGAGUUAAGCUGGGUGAUCAUUUGUUCCCAAAGCCUGUGUAAGCUAAGAAAACCGCAUUGGGAUUUCACUCGAUAAUAGCAAUCUAGGGAAUGAAUGAUUCCCAGCUUAGCUAAGAAUUCAAUUUGCAUUACUUUAAUGAUAUGUAUGUAUGUAUAUGUAACUGAAACCGUUAUUAUAAAUUUAGUCUUUAUAAUAGUUGUAAUUUUAGUGAUUUCGAAUGGAGUAUUCUUACCGAAUUCGUAGAGCAUUUGAUAAAUAGAUUUUCUAAAAACUCAACGUAAGGAGCAGCAUUAUAACCGAAACCUCUUUCAUAUUUGUAAAAAAGUAACCAACAUUUUUAUAUGCAUUUUUUUUGGACGAACAACCGUAUUAAUUAUUAGAUACUGCAUACAGAAAAAAAGAUACAUAGCAAGUCAGCCUUCGAAAAUCGUGAAAACAAAGAGUUCGAAUUACGCCUAGUGUGCUACCGUAAUCAUUACUGCAAACCAAUCGUUAAAUUGUGCCUGAAAAAUCGAAACGGAAAACUGAAAAGAAAAGAUUAAUUACAAGGAACAGGAAUGAAAAGAUACAAUCAUUUCAUAAACUAUGAUUUGUGAUUUUGCUGCUCAAAUAUAAUAAUAUUUGGUUACCUCCCGGAAAUGUCGAAAAUCGCUGUUAAACUUAGCAAUCAUAUCAACACUACAACGCUCCGUUAUUAGGGACAACGUAACAAGGAACACAUACGUAUGUAUGCACUGUAGUCGUGUUUAGUUUCAAACUUAAUUAGGAAUACUUUAUAUGAGAAUGUAGAUGCGUUUUUCCUACUCUUUGGUAAUUAUUUGGAUGAUUUAUAUAUACAGACGUUUGGAGGCAAAUUUAUCUGAAAGGAAUAAGUUUCGGGAUCAAACGCAAUUAUUUUUAAUGACGGGCUCGGCAUUGAUAUAAAAGAAAACUAUUAUUUACUCCUAAUUAGUUCCAGAAAAGCCAAUAAAUCCGAUUGCAAGGAUGUUCAAUCGACUAUCUCCGCCCUCUAUGGAUAUAUCCGAAAUUUGAGUCUUAUUUUCAUCACUACCAAACAAAUUUUCUCA